rnacentral:rRNA from 1 species
UACAGAGGUGGCAAGCGUUGUUCGGAAUUACUGGGCGUAAAGGGCGCGUAGGCGGUUCGUUAAGUCCUGUGUGAAAUCCCCCGGCUCAACUGGGGAACUGCACAGGAAACUAGCGGGCUUGAGUUCGGUAGGGGAGACUGGAAUUCCUGGUGUAGCGGUGAAAUGCGCAGAUAUCAGGAAGAACACCCGUGGCGAAGGCGGCUCUCUGGUACGUGACUGACGCUGAGACGCGAAAGCGUGGGGAGCGAACAGG